GACGAACGCUGGCGGCGUGCUUAACACAUGCAAGUCGAACGGAAAGGCCCUGCUUUUGUGGGGUGCUCGAGUGGCGAACGGGUGAGUAACACGUGAGUAACCUGCCCUUGACUUUGGGAUAACUUCAGGAAACUGGGGCUAAUACCGGAUAGGAGCUCCUGCUGCAUGGUGGGGGUUGGAAAGUUUCGGCGGUUGGGGAUGGACUCGCGGCUUAUCAGCUUGUUGGUGGGGUAGUGGCUUACCAAGGCUUUGACGGGUAGCCGGCCUGAGAGGGUGACCGGCCACAUUGGGACUGAGGUACGGCACAGACUGCUACGGGAGGCAGCAGGGGGGAAUAUUGAACAAUGGGCGGAAGCCUGAUGCAGCAACGCCGCGGGCGGGAUGACGGCCUUCGGGUUGUAAACCGCUUUCGCCUGUGACGAAGCGUGAGUGACGGUAAUGGGUAAAGAAGCACCGGCUAACUACGUG
rnacentral:rRNA from 1 species